UCUCGGCUUAUCACCGGCAGUCCCCCUAGAGUGCCCAACUGAAUGAUGGCAACUAAGGGCGAGGGUUGCGCUCGUUGCGGGACUUAACCCAACAUCUCACGACACGAGCUGACGACAGCCAUGCAGCACCUGUGUUGCGGUUCCCUUUCGGGCACCCCUGCAUUUCUGCAGGGUUCCGCACAUGUCAAGGGUAGGUAAGGUUUUUCGCGUUGCAUCGAAUUAAACCACAUCAUUCACCGCUUGUGCGGGCCCCUGUCAAUUCCUUUGAGUUUUAAUCUUGCGACCGUACUCCCCAGGCGGAUGACUUCACGCGUUAGCUGCGGCACCGAGGGGGUCGAUACCCCCGACACCUAGUACUCAUCGUUUACAGCGUGGACUAC
rnacentral:misc_RNA from 1 species